rnacentral:rRNA from 1 species
AUUGAACGCUGGCGGCAGGCCUAACACAUGCAAGUCGAACGAGUGGCGGACGGGUGAGUAAUGUCUGGGAAACUGCCCGAUGGCGGGGGAUAACUACUGGAAACGGUAGCUAAUCCCGCAUACCAUCGGAUGUGCCCAGAUGGGAUUCACUAGUAGGGGGGGUAAUGGCUCACCUAGGCGACGAUCACUAGCUGGUCUGAGAGGAUGCCCAGCCACACGGGAACUGAGAAACGGUCCAGACUCCUACGGGAGGCAGCAGUGGGGAAUAUUGCACCAUGGGCGCAAGCCUGAUGCAGCCAUGCCGCGGGUAUGAAGAAGGCCUUCGGGUUGUAAAGUACUUUCAGCGAGGAGGCGUUACUCGCAGAAGAAGCACCGGCUAACUCCGUGCCAGCAGCCGCGGUAAUUC